GACGAACGCUGGCGGCGUGCCUAAUACAUGCAAGUAGAACGCACUCUCGAGUAGCUUGCACGAGUUUGCUCCUGAUCGAAAAACUUUUUAGUGAGUGGCGGACGGGUGUGUAACACGUGGGUAACCUGCCCUAAAGUGGGGGAUAACAUUUGGAAACAGAAGCUAAUACCGCAUAAAACCUAACACCGCAUGGUGUCGGGUUGAAAGAUGGUUUCGGUUGUAUUAGUUGGAUGGAAAGGUAGUGGCUCACCUAGGUGGCGAUGCAUAGCCUACCUGAGAGGGUAAUCGGCCACACGGGGACUGGAACACGGCCCAGACUCCUACGGGAGGCAGCAUUAGGGAAUCUUCCACAUUGGACGAAAGUCUGAUGGAGCAACGCCCCUUGGUGGAAGAAGUUUUUCGAAUCUUAAAACUUUGUUGUUGGAGAGGAAUGUAUCUGAUAGUGACUGAUCAGGUAGUGACGGUAUCCAACCAGAAAGCCACGGCUAACUACGUG
rnacentral:rRNA from 1 species